rnacentral:rRNA from 1 species
CCUACGGGUGGCUGCAGUGGGGGAUAUUGCACAAUGGGGGGAACCCUGAUGCAGCGACGCCGCGUGGGUGAAGAAGCGCCUCGGCGCGUAAAGCCCUGUCAGCAGGGAAGAAAAGGACGGUACCUGAAGAAGAAGCCCCGGAUAACUACGUGCCAGCAGCCGCGGUAAUACGUAGGGGGCAAGCGUUAGCCGGAUUUACGGGGUGUAAAGGGGGUGAAGACGGUGAUGCAAGCCAGGAGUGAAAGCCGGGGGCCCAACCCCGGGACUGAUCUUGGAACUGCGAGGCUGGAGUGCAGGAGGGGCAGGCGGAAUUCCUGGUGUAGCGGUGAAAUGCGUAGAUAUCAGGAGGAACACCGGUGGCGAAGGCGGCCUGCUGGACUGCAACUGACGUUGAGGCGCGAAAGCGUGGGGAGCAAACAGGAUUAGAUACCCCGGUAGUC